GUAAUGCUCUUGUGGGCGUGCAUGAGAUGGGACAUCACAGCUUCCAGGGACCCCUGCCACUUGCAGGAAGCACCAGGACAUGGGCAGGAGUAGGGACGGUAUUCACAUAUGUCUUCAUGUUCUGGUUUCUCCGUAUGGUGCAGGGUCAGGGAACAGCCCGUGGUGGCAUACUGCAAAGAAAGAAAUGCAUUGAGCCAUUGGGCCUUCUCAAAACUUCUAUUGCUUCAACCCUCUAUGAGUACUUAACUACUCCAUUUUCCUGGGCUUAAACUGUGUUCUUAACUACUUUUGCUCAAAGCAAGUGAAAUAUUCAAGACUAAAAGUCUCCGUCUCUAUUCAUCAUCAAUGCUGUCAUGCAUAAAAUGAAGGGUAUUUCCUGAACCAGAAAUACGCUGUUUUCCAUGCCCCCUGUUCCGCUGUCAAAGGGAUCAGAACUAAAGUUCUCUUACUGUGCACAUCUCAAAAUUGUUGAGCAAGCCCUAUAAAAGCUGGUCUUCCCCAUAUUUUCUGUGAAGCUGUUUUUUAAAGAAUUCAAUUGCUUGGGUGGUGGGGAUGGGGUUGGGCAAGGAAUAUUAUAUUAUCCCAAGAUUAGUUUUCACAUAUAGACAAUAUUAACAACAGUAUAAUUCUGUCGUCCCCCUCCACUGCUUUCUGGCUCAAACUGGUGACUGGCAGGCAGGCCGUGGGGAAGGCUGCCCUUUGGUUCCUUGCUCUUUGCUGCUGGCAUCACCAGGCUAGGGCAGCGGAGGCCUGGAGACCCCUUCAUACAGCUAGAAAUAUUACCCCACUGCAUCCUUUUGACCUUCCCUCUGGGGGGCUUUGCCCAUAUUUUUUGGGUGGAAGGAAAUCACAUCCAAGAGCUACUUAACUAACUCAGAAGACUACUGGUCAGUCUGGUUCUGGCCAGUAGAGGUUAACAUGAGAAGGGCCUAACCCUCCUCUCAAAGCUUGCUGACCCCCAACACUUCCUCAGAUUCAAGAGCACAUCAUUUCAUGGUCAGGUAUGUCAGGUCCUCACAACAGGCCCGGGAGGAAGCAGAACUAGACAAGUUUGCUGACAUGAUCAGUCUGCCCCUCAGACACUGCCUUAAUAGGGUAGGAGAACAAAAUCAUUUUCUCCCUUGCACUUGGGAUGACAUUCCUAAUGGAUAAAUCAUACCUGCCGUGGCAAAAGACCACACCAAGAGGAACUGAACUUCUACUCCAGACUCUCACAAGGAUGACAGUGUUAAUUCCUAGAUACCAGAUGGAGAUCAGCCCACAAGUAGACACCUGCCCUGAGUACUAAGCUGUUCUGUAAAGAAUUAAGAAACCUGAAUCACCUUUUCAGGUGAAACUAGGUGUCAGCCUUAGACCCCUGGAGCACAGAAUGGCAGGGGAACUGUCUGGCUAACUACACUUGGAUUCCCCUGCUCCACUGAGACAUGAAGGCACCAAAUAAGGGCAAGGCCAGGUCAUUUUUCUAAGAUGCUAUGUCCAGUUGCUAAAAAAAAAAAAAAGCACCACUGCUGUUUUUGCUUCUCUCUACCCUGCUUUAUAGAAUAAUCCCCCUUUUAAACUUGAAGUCGGUCAAAUUCUAACCUUCAUAGAUGAAUUUAUCACUAGCAACAAGCAGAUGGUAUGCACUAUGUGACUUCUCCAUACAAGACGCUAAGUUACAGUCACUCAGAGGAUUCCGAAGCAAGGAUGACAGCCUCCACUCUCAGGGGGAUUAGUCUCCCCUAAUCGGAAAGGAGAGUGGCUUAAAGAAAGAAAUGUAGCUCAUCCUCCAACCCCCACUUCCCCAUACCUAAGCGGAUUAUAAUAUUUAACAGAAAUUGGCAGAAAUAUUUCAGUUACUUAUUUGCCCAUAGGAAUUGUUUGUUCAUCUUUUAAAACUCUGAACUAAUUUCUAAAGCCUGGCUGUAAAAAAACUCACUCAGGAGAAACAAAUUUAUUUAUCCAUGUGUAUUCAUACUUUGUGUUCCUUACUUUAUAAGGCCUGAAAAACAAAUCCCUAUUAACUGUGUUUUAAAUCUAGGGUGUGGCUAGGAAUACAGAGCCUCCUCAUGUUCUUCUGUGAGUGAUGGGUGAGACAUUUCUGUCCAGUUUAAAAAAACACACACACACAAUAAAAAUAGCAAGAAAUAGCCCAGAGCCUGGCAGAGUCUCGAAACAAGCUCUCAAUAUCUGAAGAUGUUUCAAGACGAACUUUUCCCCAUAGCUGCCCAGGAAUGAGAUGAACUUUGGCCAAUGGCACCCAGAAAGGUACCAGCUGCACCUCUGCCCAAAGUCCCAAACCACUCCUCAUUCAUGACGAACUCAACAUUUACAGCAAAUAUUUAUCACUUGGCAAUCAUUUUAUAACUUUCCCCACUCAAGUAGGAGUAUUUAUACUCUGAAUUAUUUGAUUUGCCUUACAAAUCACAUAUUCAACACUUCUUUCCACCCAAAUAUACAGAACAGGGAACCUCCCCAAACUGCACAAAUAGAAAAGGCAUUACUUUGCAUUUGUGUGGACAACGAUCUCAUGUUUUUUCAUAAGGAUCUUGCUACAUCCUCUAUUAACUUAAAUAAAUAGUUUUAAAGCCUUAGGUGCUUACUCUGCUUUUACUGAACAAGCAGAACUUUCAUGGCAAUCUAUCCCUUCUCUUUCCAUCAUGGGUAAGGUUCAUGUCUUCAUAACAACUGGUGCCACUUUUAUGAUGACUAAAGUCUAAAUUUUAACCCCCUACACACACACACACACACACACACACACACACACACACCCCACAUUUCAUACUUCAAGCAGUUUUGGCAUUGUUCUGGAAUGGCAUGUCAGAGCACCAUGGGUGUUUUGUCACUUUCAUCAGGGGCUCUCAUCCAGGGAUCCGAGGGAGGACUUUAGUAGUUUGUGAAUUCCCCAAGACUGUAUGUAAAACUGUCUAGGUGCUUCUGAGCAGCAAAGCCAAGUCUCACUGGCCCCUGGCCUUGGGCUUGUGUUUUCUUUUCUUUUUUUUUUUUGAGAUGGAGUCUUGCUCUGUCACCCAAGCUGGAGUGCAGUGGCGCGAUCUCGGUUCACUGCAAGCUCCGCCUCCCGGGUUCAUGCCAUUCUCCUGCCUCAGCCUCCCAAGUAGCUGGGACUACAGGUGCCUGCCACCACACCCAGCUAAUUUUUUGUAUUUUUAGUAGAGACGGGGUCUCACCGUGUUAGCCAGGAUGGUCUCGAUCUCCUGACCUCGUGAUCCACCCGCCACGGCCUCCCAAAGUGCUGGGAUUGCAGGCUUGAGCCACUGUGCCCAGCCUGGGCUUGUGUUUUCUUGAAGAGCUCCAAGGGUUUCUAAGAGUUUCCAGGGCUGAGAACCUCUAUCCUAGAGCACACAGAAGGAAUCAGCUGUGGAUCCUGCCCUUGUGGUGUUUCCAGUUGAGAAAGACCAUAUAAUAAAUUUAACAACUAUGUAAAGGAAGACCAGGAGGGCAACAGGUGAUUUCAAGGUGGGACAGGGUGAGGAGGACAUGGUAAGGAAAGCUUUAUUGUAGACAAGUGGAUUGUGGAUGGAGUUGUUCCAUCUGGUUCUAGCACAGGGUGAGUGGAGGAAACAGUGGGGAUAAAACCUCAAGGAGGCCAGGCGCGCUGCUCACACCUGUAAUCUCAGCACUUGGGUAGGCUGCGGCAGGUGGAUCACUUGAGGUCAGGAGUUCAAGACCAGCCUGGCCAAUAUGGUGAAACCCUGUCACUACCAAAAAAUAUAAAAAAUUAGCUGGGUGUGGUGGCAUGCACCUGUAAUCCCAGCUACUAGGAAGGCUGAGACAGGAGAAUAACUUGAACCCAGGAGGAGGAGGUUGCAGUGAGCUGAGAUCGUGCCACUGCAUUGCAGCCUGGGCAACAGACUGAGACUCUGUCUCAAAAAACAAACAAACAAACAAACAAACAACCUAAAGGAGAAGGCAGGUGAGGGACCUUCCUGACAAUGGAGUUUAUUUUGAGUUUCUCGACAGUGGUGCUAUUGACAUUUUGGACCUGAUAAUUCGUUGUUGUGGGGGCUGUGCUGUGUACCGCAGGAUGUUUAGCAGCAUCCGUGGUCUCUAUUCAUUAGAUGCCAAUAGCAACCACCCCCUGCCCCUCAGUUGUGACAACCAGAAAUGUCUCCAGCUCUCCAGGCAUGGCCAAAUGUCACGUAGGGGGCAAAAUGGCCCCAGUUGAGAACCACUGACUCUGAUAAGAACUACUCAUUCCAAUUCUCAAGAAUGACAAAACCUGGCUUCCAAGCAGCCACUAUCACAGUUGCAAGGAGCGGCCCAUGCCAGCAAGCAGGUCCAGUAGGUCACUGGCCCACCCAAUGAGCACUACCAGGGCAACUCAGGAAUGCCAGCCUUGCCACACAAUCAGAACAUGAUCGCUAGCAAAGCACGGAGUUAGACCAGGGAGUCCAUUCUACCCGUUUUAUUCACUAGAAGCUGGAUGCUCCCAGAGUGUGGCUGACUGGUCAGGGCCCUGUGGUCAUUUGUGGCUUCACAAGGAGCAGAGCCCUGCAUUCCCAGGCUGCCCCGCCAGGGUUCUUUCACUGCACACAACAGCUCAGGAGUCAAAGAAUCAAUAUUUUGGGAAAAAUAAACAAAUAAUUUACAUCUGCCUUCACCCCUGGCCACCAACCCAACACACAUAAAACUCAGAGUCCACAGAUACACUGCUUUUGGAAGCAGGUUCUAAUAUUAACUUCUUUGGUUUGCAAGGAGAGAAAAACAGCCCUGAAAGUGCCACUCCCUGAGGAAUAACGCAGCAGCAUCUCAAAUCAGUAACCAGCCAUUAGGCCCUCCCAGCCUUCUCUGGGAUCUGGCAAGAAAGUCCUGAGGUUUCACUUCAUACUCCAGCUAGGGCUUGCCCCACAAAAUGUGAAAAGGUCAAGGACUUGUGCGUUUAAGCUGGGGAGGGCUUUCCUUUAGAUGUCUGGUUCUUAGCUGUACCCUUUUGUUACUGAGAGAAGGCACCUGGGCUGGUUCGCAGAGGGCUGCCUGUGUCUCCUGGGACAAGCCCACAGCUAUAAAUGAGAUUUCUCCUUAGGGAAAUAUCUGCUCAUUUCCCCAGGGGGAAUUAGUUUUAAGUAAACAUCUCUAAAGAACACACACACACACACACUCUGAAAACUAAAGAAGAAAAUAGGGAGGUAGGACCGGGCGCGAUGGCUCACUUCUGUAAUCCCAGAACUUUGGGAGGUUGAGUCGGGUGGAUCACCUGAGGUCAGGAGUUCGAGACCAGCCUGGCCAACAUGGUGAAACCCCAUCUCUACUAAAAAUACAAAAAACAAAAACAAAAACAAAAAAAAAUUAGCCGGUUGUGGUGGUGGGCACCUGUAAUCCCAGCUACCCGGGAGGCUAAGGCAGGAGAAUCACUUGAACCUGGGAGGCAGAGGUUGCAGUGAGCCAUGAUUGUGCCACUGCACUCCAGUCUGGGCAACAGGAGCGAAACGCCAUCUCAAAAAAAAAAAAAAAAAAAAAAAUUGGGAGGUAGAUGAUGUCCCAGCAGAAUGAGAAACAAAGAGAUGUUGAAAUCCCAUUUCUAACUUCUCUUUACAAACUUUUCAUGUUGCAGUGACUCAAAAGUCUUGUGCAGAUGUGUUCUGCCAUUGAGAUGUGAUGUGUAAUCCGGACCCUCAUUCUUAGAUCUUUGCAGAAAGCAGCUAAUAGUUCCCAUUCUUUUCCUGGGUGUGGGGUUUGAAGGUUGUAUUUAAGUUGGAAUUUAGGCAGGGUUUUUCCCUUUUCAGCAUAGAAACCCCUUCAUACACAAAUACACACAACAAGAUACAGCAACACACAGUCAAACACAAGACACCUGUUAUUUACCUAAUAAACACAGUCACAUUAUGUUUACUUAUGAAAUGAGUAUGCAAGCAAAAUAAGCCUUCUUAGCCAUGGUGCUAGUGAAGGUCAUGGAUGCUGUCACUGGUUUAGAACAAGUCACUUAACCUAUUUAAUUAAAUCUGAUUCCAUGCAAUUCAAGAAUGAUUUACUGAACCCAGCAAUCAACAAUCUACUCAAUGGGAGCAGCAUGUGCUCCACAGCAGAAGCAUGGCUCUUUAGGGAACUGUGAGGUAACCACACUGCCUAGACCGGCUUACGUCCUAGGAAACAGCUGAAAUUUAUAGCAAAAUACCUGCUAGCACCUCAAAUGAGAAUGUCUUAAGAAAAACAAACCACAAUCGAUAUUUUGUUGUUGAUGCUCAUAAACUUUUGAAUUAAAUCUAAGAAAUGACCUUGUCUUGGAGUUAAAAAAAGCAAAUGGCACUUUCUUUCAACCUAAGUAAGUUGUAAUGAUCACAGAAUGCAUACUGAUGGCUAAGUGCAAUGCAUAACUCUAGAAUGAGAAACCAAAAUUCCUAUAAAGGACAUUCAUUACUGGGGCAAAAGCUGUAAUUUGAAUGUGCACUGUGGAUUAGAUAAUAGGAUCUGCUGUGUGUCAAAUUUCCUGAUUUUGAUAACUGUGCUAUGAUUAUAUAAGAAAAUGAUUUUAGAUGAAACACAAUGAGGUAUUUAGGGGUAAAGGGACAAGAUGCCUGCAAUUUACAUUCAAAUGGUUAAAAAAAAGUACGAGCAAAGACAGCACAAAUGAUAAAGCAACUGGAGCAAAAAGGAAAUAACUGGUGAAUCUGGAUAAAGGCUAUAAGGGAAUUUUUAAAUGCUAUUAUUGCAACUGCUGUGUAAGUAUGAAAUCAUAUCAAAAUAAAAACAUGGUCAGGCAAGGUGGCUCAAGCCUGUAAUCCAAGCACUCUGGGAGGCCGAGAUGAAGGGACUGCUUGAGCCCAGGAGUUCAAGACUAGCCUGGGCAACAUAGGGAGACCCCUGUCUCUAUAAAAAGUUAAAAAAAAAAAAUAGCCAGGCCUUGUGGUGCACACGUGUAGUCCCGGCUACUAGGAGGGCAAAGGUGAGAGGAUUGCUUGAGCCUGGGAGGUCAAGGCUCAGUGAGCCGUGAUUGUACCACCGCCCUCCAGCCUGGGCAACAGACUGACAGACACCCUGUCUCAAAAAUACAUACAUAAAAACAUACUAAAGAAUCCAGGGACCGAGUUAGCAUAUUUAUCCUUUAUGGGACAGAAAUGGUUUAUGCAGAAUUGGUUGAAUGAAUUAAGUUUUAUCAUAAUAGUGUUUGUUUUAAAAGAAUAUAUACCUUUAACUACAUAACUACAUGUAAAUGCAACUGAAGUUGGUAGUUUUUCUUUUACUAGAGGCUAUUUGAGACUGUAGUGAACCAAUACAAUUUUGCAAUGAGAAAUGAAUUGUCAUAAUAACCAACACUUCUUUGGCCCCUAUAGAAGACAAUGCAUUCUCCAUUGUCCUCUGAUCCUUCUAAAGGUUUGCGGGUGCCUGACAAGUCUGUGGCCUUGGCAUGUAGUUUCAUUAUUCACCACUCUCAGUGGUCCAAGGUAAACUCCACUUUGUUCUAGACCCAUUUGAAAGAUGAGCUCCAGGAAUAAAAUUUACUUAAGCCCCCUUUUUCUUUUGGGAGGUGAACCUGGAAGUGGGAAGAAGAGAUAUAGGAGCUCAACUGGAAGGAUGAAUUUCUGACAGUAUAAUUUAUUAUGUAUGAUUAGCAGAUAAUUAGGACUUGUGCAAAUGGGAGUUGGCAGCUAAGCCUAGUAUAGAUCCACAUCAUGGUAAAAGUUACAUUUUAACCAUCAGUCAAACUUUUAAAAGGACUUCUAGCAAUUCAAGCUAGCUGUUUUGUGAUUUAAAAUGUUUACCUGCCCCACAAAGACCACUGAAUGAUCACAGGUUAUUUUCUAGUUAAUUUACAGGUUUGUUAAUUUUGCUUAUUGGUUCACUGAUUCAUUGCCUGCUUCUUGCCCACCUAAUAUUUGUUGAUGAAUGAAUAAAUGUUAGAUGUAUCUGCCGAAGAUGGAAUGUUUUCCACCAUGUUAAUUUUACUUUAAUUAGAAGUUUUACUGUGGGACUUAGAAUUUAAAAAAAAAUCAAUAGAUUUUGAGAUCAUGUAAGAAGAAAUGUUUGUUUUAGAUUUCAGGCACUAUGGUUUUGUCAUUUUUGAUGAAAGUGUUUCACAUAUUUUAUUUACAUAACUAUUUGGAGUGAGAAGAUUUAAAAAUUUUUUUUUUUAUUGAAAUGACGGGGUCUCACUUUGUUAGCCAGGGUAGUCAUGAAUUCCCGGCGUCAAGCAAUCCUCUCACCUCAGUCUCCUAAAAUGCUGGGAUUAAAGAUGUGAGCCACCAUGCCUGGCAGUGAGAAGGUUUAUAGCCUUUCUGAGAUCUUACCUAGACUGGAAAACAUGAGCACAGUUGUCCUUUUGAUGGCUGUAUGUUCCUCUUGCUUAAAAUAUGUUUACAACAAUGGUAGAGUAGCUGUGAUUGGAACUCAAGUAGCCAGUGUCCUGUGUGACCUGGAGCCUACCAAAUCACCUAUGAGUGGGUCUAUAAAACUGUCUAUGACUUCCUCCUUGACUAUUAUUAACAGUGGAAGAGUUGUAGACUCUUCAAGUUAAUCAUGUUAAGGCUUGGGAAACAGGAGAAAGUGAAAUCUGUUCUUGUGACUUAUUUAUAAUAUUCAACCUGCAUCUGUCUAGCAUCCUUCCUCUAAGAACCUUAGCGUAUUUUCCCUUAACUUGAAUGGUAAAUUCCUGAACUCUGCUGUGAGGCAGUGUGAAGAGAUAAUCAGGCCUGACACGGUGGCUCAUGCCUGUAAUCCUAGCACUUUGGCAGGCUGAGGCAGGCGGAUUCCCUGAGCUCAGGAGUUCGAGACCAGCCUGGGCAACAUGGUGAAACCCCAUCUCUACUACAAUACAAAAGAAAUUAGCCGGGCGUGGCAGCAUGUGCCUGUAGUCAGGAGGCUGAGGCAGGAGAAUUGCUUGAACCCGGGAGGUGGAGGUUACAGUGAGCCGAGAUUACGCCACUGAACUCCAGCCUGGGUGACAGAGAGAGACUCUGUCUCUUAAGAAAAAAAAAAGAGAGAGAUAUCAUCAACCAAUAGUGCAGUAACAGUUUUACAGACAGUGAUAGGAGAAGACACUAUUACUCAGCACUAGAACUGUCAAGUCAAACAGUGUCACCAAACAGUGGUGAGAGUAAGGAAACACUUACUGUUCACUUUACUAAAUUUCUUCUGGGGAAGACAAUUCUAAUUAAAAUCUUGGGCCCAAAAAUCUGUCCUUUUUGCCUAAGAGAAAGUCAACAAACCACCUUUUAGCUUUCUUACUAAGAGGUGUCUUGGGAAGACUUUGGCAUAAAUUUCUUUUCUUUCUUUUUAAAAAGAGACAGGGUCCUGCUGUGUUGCCCAGGCUGAUCUCAAACUCCUAGCCUCACGUGAUCCUCCCAUGUCAGCCUCUCGAAGUGUUGGGAUUAUAGGCAUGAGCCACCACAACUGGCCUGGCAUAAUUAUUACUGCAGAAAUCUGAGAACACCCUGCUAUCAAGGGAGGGUGUGUUUAGCCUUACAGAGACUCCCAGGGCUGGCAGGGGUUUAUUUUUAAUCUUAGAAACUUUAAACAAAGGUUGACUUUUGACCAUGUAUGUUUCUCAUCUGUCCAUAGCCAGAGUUAGCAGGUAACCACACAUUGUCAUGGAGAACCAGUUUUGUGAGGUCCUUUCAAAGUGCAUGUUCAAGCAAACAAAACACUUAAAAGCUGAGUUAAAGGCUCUAUGCCAUGUGACCAGUACCACACCCACCCUUUCAGUAUGCCCUCACUCUUCCAUGCCAGGUUCCCACCUGCACAACCACAUAACUGCCCUGACAGUUCUUCAAACAGCUCUAUUCCCCUCAGCAGUCUUUAUUUCUCAACGAAAGCAACUGAAUUCACCAAAAGACUUAAGUGGUAGGGUUGUAAAAUUAUUAAAUAGGCCAGGUGCAGUGGCUCACGCCUGUAAUCCCAGCAUUUUGGGAGGCCGAGGCAGGCGGAUCACCUGAGGUCAGGAGUUCGAGAACAGUCUGGCCAACAUGGCGAAGUCAUGUCUUUACUGAAAAUACAAAAAUUAUCCGGGCGUGAUGGCAUGAGCCUGAAAUGCCAGCUAAUCGGGAGGCUGAGGCAUGAGAAUCACUUGAACCCGGGCGGCAGAGGUUGCAGUGAGCCAAGAUCGCACCACUGCACUCCAGCCUGGGCGACAGAGCGAGACUCCAUCUCAGUAUUAAAAAAAAAAAAUUAUCAAAUAAAAAUACAAGAUGUCUCUCAGGCAAUGUUUGGAAUAUACUUAUUAUUCUUCUCCGGCCCCGCAAGUUAUUUGUUGUUUAUCUGAAAUUCAAAUUUAACUGGGCACUCUGUAUUUAUCUGGCAACCCUAAUAAGAGGACCUGCUGGUACCACUGCCAUCCCUGCAAAAGCCACUCCUUGGGUCUAGAAUGGGAAGAGGGAUCACUGUUCCUCAGAAGGGUAGAGUGGGCACAGAAAAAGCAAGAGGUUGUAGUGAAAAAGACACUGUAUAUGUAAUUAGUCCAGACUGGAGUUUCUGCCCCCAAACUUAAAAACUGCACGAGCAUGGGUGCCUAGCUCGGGCCAUCUAUAAGCAAGGCAAGCAACAUCCUUCACAAGCAACUUUGCUGGCCUCCCACACAGCCUCCUUAUGAGCUUCCAUCCCUUCUUUCUUCACAGGCAAACCGCUGCGCACCUUCAACAUGCAGCUGGUGCCACCAUGGCAGCAAGGUCUUCGGACUCCUUUCGGCUCCUAGUACUUCAGACGGGCUCUGCCCUAUUGGCACAUCUGUCUCCACCAGUAGACUUAGGAGAGUUUCAGAAAGACGAGAGGGGUGAGCAGAGGCAAGAACUGGCUAGGCAGAUGGGUUGUGGGAAGGAGAGGGCCUGGAACUGCAGGAGAUUCCAAGGCAAGAGUGAGUAUGAUGUAAAGUUGGUGGGGUCAGCAGCGGCCAACUCUGGCCUGACACUGCACCAGGGAGAAAAAGCAGGCUGUGGCAUUAAGAAAACCAAAAGGUAACACCCAAUGUCGGUGCUGCUGGGAAGAAAUGGACAUUCAACUGUAAACCAUUCUAAGGGAGAAAACAAUUUGGUUCUACUAUCAAAAAGCUUCAAUUUCUCAGGCCGGGUGUGGCGGCUCAUGCCUGUAAUCCUGCCACUUCAGGAAGCUGAAGCCGAAUCACUUGAGCUCAGGUGUUCAAGACCAGCCUGGGCAACAUGGUGAAACCCUGUUCCUACAAAAAAUACAAACAUUAGCCAAGCCUGAUGGUGUGUGCCUGUAAUCCCAGCCACUCAAGAGGCUAAGGUGGGAGGAUCCCCUGAGCCCAGGAGGUUGAGGCUGCAGUGAGCUGUGAUUAUGCCACUGCACUCCAGCUUGGAUGACAGAACUAGACCCUGUCUCGAAACAAAAAACAAAAAAAAAACACUGAGAUUUCUGCAUAUACCCUUGGGCUCUACCAUCCAACUUCAAGGAAUUUAACUUUAGGAAAUAACUAUAUUUUUGUGUACAAAGAUUUGGUUAUAGCAGUGCUUUAAAAAAAAAAUCUCAGUAAGAAAAGAGAAUUUAAAUGACCACAAAUAGGAGCCUGAUUAAAUAACUCUGGUACUGUUAUAGAACUGCAAUAUGUGGCCAUUAAAUAUGAUCCUAAAGAAUAUUUAUCACUGUAGAAAAGCAGUCACGAUGUGUUAGAUAAAGAAUGUGUUAGAUAAAGAAGCAGAUUAUGAAACAGUGUAGACAAUAGGAUUCCUCACCUGUAUUGUUCUAUUCUCAAAUUGCUACAAAGAAAUACUUGAGACUGAGUAAGUUAUAAAGAAAAGAGGUUUAAUUGGCUCACGGUUCUGCAAGCUGUACAGGAAGCAUAGUGGCUUCUGCUUCUAGGGAGGCCUCAGAAAGCUUCCAAUCAUGGUGGAAGGCAAAGGGGGAGUGAGGCAUCUCACAUGGCAAGAGCAGGAGCAAGGGUGGGAGAGGUGCUUCACACUUCUUAAAUAACCAGAUCUCAUAAGACUCACUAUCAUGAGAACAGCACCAAGAGGAUAGUGCUAAGCCAUUCAUGAGAAAUCCACCCCCAAGAUCCAACCACCUGCCCCAGGCCCCACCUCCAACAUUGGGGAUUACAAUUGAACAUGAGACUUGAUGGGGACAUAGACCCAAACCAUAUCACCAUCUCACUUGUUUUGUUUUUGUUUUUGUUUUUAAAGAAAAACUCCACCGAUGUAGAAAUAAGUUUGCAAGGAUGUAUGCAAAAUGGUAUAGUGGUUAUCUUUAGGUGAGGGAGAUUAUAGGAGAUUUUAAUUUUAUACUAUUUUCUAUAUGUUCUACAUUUAAAAAUAAUCAUAACUUUAGAAAACAUAAUAUGUAAAAAUACACAAAAUAUAAUACAUAUAAUUUAAAAUGCUGCUUAAUCUAACCAGUUUUCCCUCUCAAAAAAUUUAAAGAAAUGAAAAAAAAUCCUCAUCACUGAAAAACCAAUACAAGGGCCAACUUACACAGCUCUAUGAAAAUGCUAUAUGAUUAAGAGUAGGGAAGGGAAGCUCAUUGGGAAAAUCUAUGGGAAAAAAUAGGAAUGAUUCCUUUUUUUCAAGUUUAUGCAUGAACCUGACCUCAGACAUCGGCCAUUUAGUUUCUGUUAGCUUCUAACUGAGCACAUUUAUUUAGUGCCUGGGCUGUGUCAGGCACUUUGCAUGAAUUAUUAGUGUGUUUGGUCCUCAAGGCAACCUUGAGGCUUGGAGAGGUCACCAGCCAGUCACAGUGGGGCUGGAGUUGGGAUUUGGACCAGGCCAGAUGAGGGGCUGCCCUCAAAACUGCCAGAGUUAGAGGGAUCCUGGGGGUAAAAGGGACCCAAAGAUACUAUCUUUGCUGAUUCAAAAUUUUAAAGCAGUGCAUAGGCCGGCGCAUUAGCAAAAGAAUAUUUUUCUUUUUCUUUUCUUCCCUUUUUUUUUUUUUUUUUUUUUUUUUUGAGACAGGGUCUCACUCUGUCACCCAGGCUGGAGGGUAUUGGCAAGAUCUCAGCUCACUGCAGCCUGGACCUCCUGGGCUCAAGCGAUCCUCCCACCUCAGCCCUCUGAGUAGCUGGGAGUAUAGACACGAGCCACCAUGCCCAGCUAAUUUUUGUAUUUAUUUAUUUAUUUUUUUUAUUUUUUGAGACGGAGUUUCACUCUUGUUGCCCAGGCUGGAGUGCAAUGGUGCGAUCUCAGCUCACCACAACCUCCGCCUCCUGGGUUCAAGUGAUUCUCCUGCCUCUCAGCCUCCCAAGUAGCUGGGAUUACAGGCAUGCGCCACCACGCCUGGCUAAUUUUUUAUUUUUAGUAGAGACAGGGUUACUCCAUGUUGGUCAGGCUGGUCUCGAACUCCCAAUCUCAGGUGAUCUGCCCGCCUCGGCCUCCCAAGUGUUGGGAUUACAGGUGUGAGCCACUGUGCCUGGCACAAAUUUUGUAUUUUUAGUAGAGACGGGGUUUCACCAUGGUGGUCAGGCUGGUCUUGAACUCCUGACCUCAUGAUCUGCCCUCCUCAGCCUCCCAAAAUGCUGGGAUUACAGGCAUGAGCCACCACACCUGACCAGGAAUAUUUUUCAUCCAUCUGUAUAUCACCUGUGGGCAAAAACUGAGAACAGGAAAACCCUUUUAUUCCAUAGAUGCUACACAGUCUAAAAAUCAUUACAUAAAAUCUUUACCAAACUGGAAAUGAGGAAAACAACAGUUUUGCAAUCUAGGGCAAAGCUGAUGAAAUUCUGUAGAGCAUUUCAGUAUCCUUCAUCAGCCUUAAAAGGAUACCCCGAAUCUUAAAAUAAAGAUACAUUUGAUCAGGAAGACUUUCUUAUUUUCCUUUUCAGGAUGUCCAGCGUGGAACCACAUUCAAAUACCCUGUGUAUGAUCAUGUCCUGAAAAACUCGCCAGCAAUACACAGUGGCUCCAAAUGCUGGCACUGGUACACAGUUUAGCAAAUGUGUAUCUGCUACGUGCCCCUUUCAAGGAGUGAGGACCUUAUGGGUUUGAAUAAGAACGGCCAUGUCUCACAAAUUUUGUCAGAAGCAAAAUCUGAUGCUUAAGACAUUUUACAGUGAAGCCUCACUAUAUUCAUGUAUACAGUACUUUUUAAUGGGGCUUCAAAAAACAGCUCUACCACAGAACGGGAGAGUCUAUCCCAAUCUUGGGCUGGUAUUUUAUAGGCCAGACCUGCUGUAACUUUUGGUAAGCCUCUGUUCUGGUUAUACUAAGGCUCAACUUUCACUGAUAACUAUUUACUCUAGUUCCAGGUCAUGGUGACCUGUGAAAAAUCUUUGGCCAGUUAUGUGUGGAAUUACCAUUAAGCUUAAGUACUGCCAUAUAGUAUUCUAAUGCUUCUGCUUUAUACAAAAAGUAAACUACAACGAAAGGUGUAUUAUCAAUUUUGUUCUUUAAAAUCUUGAGCCCCGGAGUUAAUGUAUGUGGACUCUGGUCCUUGCCAGUUCACUCUGUGCUUUUAUGGGCCAACCUUGCCCAUGUCAGGCAGUAGUGAGGACUUCAGGGACAACUUCCAAAGUAAAUAGUUUUGUGUUAGGAGAAUUCUGGGGGUUAGGAAGAAAUUUUUGAAAGUAUUUUUGGCUAAUCGGCUUGUGCUUCCUGCUUCCAGGUGAUCCCCCAUUGCAACCUUCCAACCACCCCAAUACCCCCCAUAUUCCAUUCCAUAUGGUGAAGCAAAAGCCCUCAACAGCACUUCUAAUCUGAUUUCCAAGCACCCACUAACUAGGCGUCAUCUCCGUUCUUUCUAAUGGAUGAACAAACAGGGUCAGGGAAGUAUGUGACUGGACCAAAGUCACACAAAGCCAGGACGAGAACCCAGGUCUUCUGUUUCCUGGCUCACGUUCUUUUCACUGGGACCGCUUACUAUAUUUUAAAAUUUUAGGGUAAGAAAGAACCUUGGGAUAAUCAUUUAGUCCAAUCCCUUCUCUUAAAGACCCUCAGGUGCAAAAAAGAAACUGACCUGUAUAGAGUCAAACAUCUAGUCACAAGGCCAUCAUCUGAGGGUUCCUGAUGGCCAGAAAAUAAUAUUCUCUUGGCAAAAUGAAGAUGAAAAGAAAACAAGCUACAAAAUCACCAACAGUUAGGGCCUAACAGAGUUCCAAAGUUCAUGUAUGGCAAGAGUUAAAUGAGAACUUCCAGGCUCAAGGAAUGCUUCUACAAGAGAAUCAGAUCAGAGGCUGCAUGCUGGCAGCUGGAAUUUGGCCUGGAGACGUGGUGGUUCGCUUUGUCUGCAAGUGGUGGUUAUACAUGUGAAGUCAGCCAAUGCUAGAAAAAAAAUCGAGAUAUUUAACAUAAAAAAAAAAUCCAGGCUGGGCACGGUGGCUCACACUUGUAAUCCCAGCACUUUGGGGGGCCGAGAUAGGAGGAUUGCUUGAGCUCAGGAGUAUCAAGACCAGCCUGGGCAACAUAGUGAGAUGACAUCUCUUAAAGGAAAAAAAAAAGAUCCAGAUUUCUGGCUUUUCUUGAAAAAAAUCUAAAGGUCUGAUAUGCCUGUACCCACAUCCCCAACCCCACCAAUCAGCCAGAGGUGAGUAAAGGCUGCCUCUUGGGAGGUGGCACCUGUUCUCUGGCUCUCCACCAUCUCCACUGCUCCUCCAGGUCUCCCUGACCCUGAGGCCAUGAGUGCAUCAAAUACUUCUCUCCUCUCCUCUCCUCUCAUUACAUGGCCCUCCUCCCAUUUAGAAAGUUUGUCUCCACUGAACUAGAUGAGGCCAAGGGAUUUUAAACUUUCAACUGUUUUGUCUAACCUUACUUGGUUUUAUGUUAUUUUUUAUUUUUUUAAGGAACACAGACAUUGUCACAAUUCAACCACAGAGAAGACUUGUCCAGCUGAGGCUUUCAAAUUCAAUAAUUAUUUGGAGAUAUGCUACUAGAAACUUUCAGAGAGGACAAAGAAAAGGUAUCAUUACAGUGUAAGAAGGCUGGAGUGGAUUAGCAUUGCUCACAGUUGUAGAGAGAAAUACUUGGCUGAUAUCAAAAUACAUCGUUGGAUGGUAAAGUAGACUAUGUUGUUGAUAUGAAUGUGUCAACCUUCACUUCUCCCCCUAAACCCACACACUGAAGGGGUGAGUUUAAGUCUGGGCACAGGAUGUCAAAAGUUCUCAGGCAUGGAACAAGCCACAGAAUGGAUUAAAAAAUACCCCAAGCGGAAGAAAGCCAUACACUAUUAGACAUUCCAUUUUUUUUUUUUUUUUUUUGACACAGAGUCUUGCUCUGUCACCCAGGCUGGAGUGCAGUGGCACAAUCUCAGCUCACUGCAACCUCCACCUCCUGGGUUCAAGCGAUUCUCCUGCCGCAGCCUCCUGAGUAGCUGGGAUUACAGGUGCCUGCCACCACACCUGGCUAUUUUUUUUUUUUUUUUUUUUAAUGAGACUGAGUUUCACUCUUGUUGCCCAGGCUGGAAUGCAAUGACGUGAUCUUGGCUCACUGCAACCUCUGCCUCCCGGGUUCAAGCAAUUCUCCUGCCUCAGUCUCCUGAGUAGCUGAUAUUACAGGCAUGUGCCACCAUGCCCAGCUAACUUUUUUGUAUUUUUAGUAGAAACGGGGUUUCUCCAUGUUGGUCAGGCUGGUCUCAAACUCCUGACCUCAGGUGAUCCACCCACCUCAGCCUCCCAAAGUGCUGGGAUUACAGACGUGAGCCACUGCGCCUGGCCCUAAUUUUUGUAUUUUUAGUAGAGACAGGGUUUCACUAUGUUGUCCAGGCUGGUCUCGAACUCCUGACCUCAGGUGAUCUGCUCACCUCUGCCUCCCAAAGUGCUGGGAUUACAGGCAUGAGUCACCACACCCAAAGAUCUGAGCUAAUAAUGCAUCCGGUUCCCCAUAUCAAAGGUGCUGGCAACACUCUAGCCUUUAAUUAAUUACCCUAAACCUAAGUGGGAUAGUUAUUUGGCAAUACAUCCAUUUUUUUGCCAACUGAAGCAGUCCAGAGCUGUGAUGAUACCCCACAAAAUACUAGGUUUGUAGGUUUCCCCCACCCUCCCAUCUUCCUACCCUACAUGCCCUACAAAAUUCCUGCCAAUGAAUUUCAUAGUGAGUAUGUAUGUUGUCAUUUUGGGAUGGUCCCAUAAGAGGCCCAUCUGGUGAACUCAUCCAACCAGACGGUUUUGUUACUGGUGUCAACCUUGAGUUAUGAUUCAGAAUCUUGAGUAUACACUCAGAUUCGAAAUCCCUACGUAGUAAGGUGUAGGACAAAACAUCUGUGCCUUUGAGAUGCAGGUGCUUGGACUGGUCCUCUUACUAGCUGUGUGAUUUGACAAGUCACUUCACAUUUAACCACUCUGUAGGCAUGAGUUUCCUCAUCUGAAAAAAAAAAAAGGCAAACUAGUAAAAGCUGACCCCUGCAAAGUAACUGGCAGAUAGAGGGCAUCCAAUAACAUUCCAGAUAGCCUCCCUUCUUUUCAUAGAAUGCUAGAAGCUACAGGUCCUUAGAAGUCAAGCAGAUUCAUCUCUCAUUUGUAUAGAUGAGGAAAUCAAGGCCCUGGGAGGUGGUCUUUCAGGCAAACAGUGGCAGCUCUUGAGAUGUGGGCUCUGGUACUUUAUUCAACGUUGGUUUUUUUCACAUGAGCCAGCCCAUGAGAGAUUCUGAGAGCAGGUGGGGACAGUAAAAAGGCAGUCCCAUAAUUUCUAGGAGCCUCAAACUGUAGGCCAAAGGGCUAGGUAAACAGAUCUGCCUUGUUUUAAGUUUGAUACAGGCCUUACGGCUCUCUGUUGUUUCUCAUCCUCUACAACUAACACAUCUUGGUUGGUCGCUGGGCCUAUGUAUACAUUCAAGUUUGGUUUAUCCAGACUAACUGGCUGAGCUGCCCUGCCAAUAGUUUGGAUUAUUGAUCAACCAAAGGUGAGGGACACACACCCCAGCUUUAUACAACUCACACACAUGCACACACAAAAGCAUCCCCAAGAUCACAUCCUAAGCUUGGUUCUUGGUCUGCAGGGGAAUAAUUGGCCCUUUUAAAUUUCAGCUUGCAAAGUAAUAGCUUUACCCCACUGCAUUCUUAUAGAAUAGAGACUCAGAAAACCACUGACAUGUACAGAAAGGCUGAGAACCCCUGAUUCCCAGAACUACUCUUCAAGGUUGAUUUCAGUAGCCUGUUUCACGUUAGGAAAGAACGUAUGCUUUCAUAGGAACCAGAGUUCUAGAUCCUGAAAGUGAAACUUCAUGCUCCAUAUAGCAUAACUGUUUCCUUCCCUUUCUCUUGGGAACAACACAAUUCUAUUAUGGUUACAUUUUAAAAACAAAUUAUGGAUUACUGACUAAUAUCAAAUGCUCAUUUGUGAACUAAAACUCACCUAAAAGCCAUUUCUUUUGUUAGCCGCUGCGCGUUUAAGGGAAAGUAAAGGGGUGAGAAAAUGGCUCCCCAGAAAUCCUAUGGGGCAUCCCCCACCCCUGCAAUAUAUCUCAAGCAUCAAAUAGCCACUCUAUGUUAACUACCACCAAACCUUUUCCAACCACUAGGUUGUCACCUUUUUCACAACCCUAAGACAACUAUGCAAAUACUUUAUCUAAAUUUUGAGAAACUGGGCUGAGUGAAUUAGUAAGCACUAUAUGAGGAGGGGUUAACAGCAAUUUAUUAAGGUUGCCUGAAACACCCUAGUCCAAACACCGAUUCAAACUCUUAUUUAAAUAUGCUAUUUUAAACCUGAUUUGCAGCAGGGCAGCAGACCAAAUUAAAGCACUCAUUUUACUGACCUGAGUCCCAAGCCUGAAUUCUCUGGUGGAUUAUUUUUAAUUUAAAAAUGAGCUCUUGUCCUAUAAAAUAAGCAGCACCAAGGAGAAAUGCAAGACAGCUUAAAUGGCCCAAGAGGCAGCGCAAGUUACUUUUACAAAAAAACUGGAAAGUAUUAGUGACAUUAUCUCCACUUCUAAUUUCAGAAAAUGACUUUACAGUAUACUUCUAGGUUAUAACGUAGACAAGUAUGUCUGUGAAACUGCUCCUGAAGGUUUCCACGUAAUAGCUGCAGGUAAACAAAUGUUAUAAUAUGACCACACAAUGCAAUACUAUGCAGCCAUUUAAAAUACAAUGAAGUCGACUAGGUUUCAGGCAUAGAGAAAUAUGUGUGAUAAUAUGAAUUUAAGAACAGCAAGUUGCAGAUGCCAUUUUUGGAGAAAAACUUACAUCUAUGUGUGGGUAUUAAAAAACCUCCCUGACAUACACUGACAUCUAUGAUUCUAUAUUUAGCUGCGAGGGUGUAUGUAUAUAUAGUUUAAAAAGAUACACACUAAACCUAACAAUGGUGGGAAAGGAGGGGAGAGAUCUUGGUCUUUCAUUUUACUUCUUGUCUUGGUGGCUUGCAUUUUUCGCAAGGGCAUUGAAAACUUUUUACAUUAAAUAAAAAAUGAAGUGAUGAGCUUUAAACAACUGUAACAACAGCUCUUGAGUGCCCUUGUUAAUUUCUUGAUUGACUGUUUUCACCCCACUUAGUACAACAACGCAGCCACAACUCCUCAGUCCUUCCCAGUCUUUGGAAGGCUAGGAGAGAAAAAGGCGUGGCUUGCAGGGUUUUCUUCUAGCUAGAGGAAAACAGGCUGUAGGCGCCCUUUUUUUAGCUACAAUCCCGAGAGCUCCCACGUGUCAGGGGUGCGCAGACGGUAGGCGCGGGGUGCAGGACUCCAAUUAUCAAUUCAGCCGAGCCCAGCGCUGGUAAAGGGGGCGUUUAGCUCGCCCGUUUCCUCCCUCCUCAAUCCCCACACAGUCAGUUUCUCGGUCCAAGUUUUACUGGUGCGGCCCAGCCCUACCGAGAGUACCCGAAUACACGUCUGCAGAGGACGCGGGCAUUGGGCCGGGUGAGCUACGAUGUUCUAACGAUCAGCAAAUGCCAAUUAAUCUGUUAAUUGUCUAUUAACAAUUAUUACUCGGUAAAUGUCAACCCAGACCUACACCCAAAGUGGGCUUGAGGGAGGGUGGACGAAGUGUAAACAUUUUUUCUUUUUUUUUUUUAAAUGAGAGAUGCCGCCCGCCUCUCCGGGCCUGCGAGUGGGCUGGCGGAUACCGGAGUCCCUGAGGUCACCGGCGGAGGUACGUGGGCUGUCCCUGGGCUUACCUUACAGGGAAACAGGACUGCCGAGGCCACCUUCUCCAUAGCCAGGUUCCUGAUGCUGGGCGUCAGGGCGCCCCUGCACGUCGGGCAGCAGCUCAACUUCUGGCGG
rnacentral:lncRNA from 1 species